ACCGAUAAAGAAAGCACCGGCUAAUCUCGUGCCAGCAGCCGCGGUAAUACGAGAGGUGCAAGCGUUAUUCGGAAUUAUUGGGCGUAAAGCGUGCGCAGGCGGUUUUGUAAGACAGUGGUGAAAUCCCCGGGCUCAACCUGGGAACUGCCAUUGUGACUGCAAGGCUGGAGUGCGGCAGAGGGGGAUGGAAUUCCGCGUGUAGCAGUGAAAUGCGUAGAUAUGCGGAGGAACACCGAUGGCGAAGGCAAUCCCCUGGGCCUGCACUGACGCUCAUGCACGAAAGCGUGGGGAGCAAACAGGAUUAGAUACCCUGGUAGUCCACGCCCUAAACGAUGUCAACUGGUUGUUGGGAAUUUAUUUUCUCAGUAACGAAGCUAACGCGUGAAGUUGACCGCCUGGGGAGUACGGCCGCAAGGUUAAAACUCAAAGGAAUUGACGGGGACCCGCACAAGCGGUGGAUGAUGUUC
rnacentral:rRNA from 1 species